rnacentral:rRNA from 1 species
UACGUAGGGGGCUAGCGUUGUCCGGAAUCAUUGGGCGUAAAGAGCAUGUAGGCGGCCCGGUAAGUCCGCUGUGAAAGUCGGGGGCUCAACCCUCGAAUGCCGGUGGAUACUGUCGGGCUAGAGUGCGGAAGAGGCGAGUGGAAUUCCUGGUGUAGCGGUGAAAUUCGUAGAUAUUAGGAAGAACACCGGUGGCGAAGGCGGCCCACUGGAUCGGUACUGACGCUGAGGUGCGAAAGCGUGGGGAGCAAACAGG